rnacentral:rRNA from 1 species
AUUGAACGCUGGCGGCAGGCCUAACACAUGCAAGUCGAGCGCGCGGCGGACGGGUGAGUAAUGUCUGGGAAACUGCCUGAUGGCGGGGGAUAACUACUGUAAACGGUAGCUAAUACAGCAUACCAUCAGAUGUGCCCAGAUGGGAUUAGCUAGUAGGUGGGGUAACGGCUAACCUAGGCGACGAUCCCUAGCUGGUCUGAGAGGAUGACCAGCAACACUGGAACUGAGACACGGUCCAGACUCCUACGGUAGGCAGCAUUGGGGAAUAUUGCACAAGUGGCGCAAGCCUGAUGCAGCCAUGCCGCGUGUGUGAAGAAGGCCUUCGGGUUGUAAAGCACUUUCAGCGGGGAGGCGUUACCCGCAGAAGAAGCACCGGCUAACUCCGUGCCAGCCGCCGCGGUAAUAC